rnacentral:rRNA from 1 species
CACUCCUACGGGAGGCAGCAGUGGGGAAUAUUGCACAAUGGGCGCAAGCCUGAUGCAGCCAUGCCGCGUGUAUGAAGAAGGCCUUCGGGUUGUAAAGUACUUUCAGCGGGGAGGAAGGCGAUAAGGUUAAUAACCUUGUCGAUUGACGUUACCCGCAGAAGAAGCACCGGCUAACUCCGUGCCAGCAGCCGCGGUAAUACGGAGGGUGCAAGCGUUAAUCGGAAUUACUGGGCGUAAAGCGCACGCAGGCGGUCUGUCAAGUCGGAUGUGAAAUCCCCAGGCUCAACCUGGGAACUGCAUUCGAAACUGGCAGGCUAGAGUCUUGUAGAGGGGGGUAGAAUUCCAGGUGUAGCGGUGAAAUGCGUAGAGAUCUGGAGGAAUACCGGUGGCGAAGGCGGCCCCCUGGACAAAGACUGACGCUCAGGUGCGAAAGCGUGGGGAGCAAACAGGAUUAGAUACCCCAGUAGUCCCA